AUGUAAAAUUAAAGGAGUGGACUAUAUGAUUUUUAAAGUUCCUUCAAAUACUGAAAUCAUAUGAUCCAAUAUAGAAAACAUUUAGAUAAUAAUCUACCCAAGCCAAAUGUCAUAUAAAACUCUGUCGUGUCACUCCAACCCUCACCUGUAAAAGCUGAGUGAGGAACCUAAAAUUCACCUUUAUGAGGUUGUAACGAGGCAUCCCAAUACUCCCCCAACUAGUAAUGCCAGGGAAAGCCAAGUAGAGAGCUGGACUUUCAUCCAUGCUAGCCCGUAAAAAGCCUUCAUUCUAACCCUCAGUGUCAGUGGAGACCAACUAUUUAACCUGGACUUCCACCCCUACCCAGAAGGUGGGAUGCCCAGAAAGAAUCCCUUCCCCUCUUUCUUGGGUAGUGUCAGAAGAGCCCUAGUGUAAAGUCAGGACUUUCACAAUAGCUAAGCCCAUGCAGCAGUAAUGAGGAGCUUUGUUUCUUGUGUCAGUGGAGGACAGGUGGGAAAUUGGAUUUAACCACCACCUAACAAUAUUGCUGAACUGCUACCCCUAUCCCUACCAGAACGGUGUCAGAGAAAGCUAGCUAAAACGGAAGAUUUAAAUAAGAUCCAGAGUCUCAAAACAUAAUGCAAAAAUUGCCUGGUUAUAAUAGAAAUUCAUUCAUCAAAUCAAGAACCAGGAAGAUGCAAAGAAAUAAUCAAAAGAUAACACCACGGUGACCUAGAUGUUAGUAUUAUAGGACAAGUACCUUAAAAGAGCCAUCAUAAAAAUGCCUCAGUGAGCAACUAAAAACAUGCUUGAAACAAGUGAAAAAUUAGAAAGUCUUAGCAAGUAAUCGAUGAUGUAAAGAAGAACCAAAUGGAAAUUUUAUGACUGAAAAAUACAAUGACCAAAAUUAAAAGGCUCAAAGACAUAGGGAAAUAGGUUCUACUUACAUAAAUGGGUUAGAAAAAAGCUUAGGGAGGAAAGCCGCCACCAGGGGGCGAAAGUACCCGAGGUUAGCUAGCGCGAUCUUGUAAUGAGAUCAAGAGUAACUUGUAUCACCUGCAGGAAAUUACCUACCAUCUGGCGCCAAUGUACCUUGAUCACAAACUCCACUUGCGUCCCAGACCCUUUGCUUACACUCAAAAGUUAAUGAUUACUGUCUGACUGUUUUCUUCACGUUCACCACAAGGGUAAUAUCUUGUGAGCUCAAUAAAAACGGAGACGAAACCCCUGUUCGAGGCUCUUGUCUCCUCCCAGACAUUAGUCUUUUUCGUUUUAAGUUUGUGUCCACUCUUUUGCUGGAGAGAACCCCAGACUCAUAAUCUGUGACAGGUGGCGAUCCGAACGUGAUAGAAGGCAACGUGAAGGCGAAGUGAUUGGAAGAAAAGCCAACGUGGCUAAAAAGCAGAGGUAACUCAGGGACGGCAGAAUGCCAUGGAAUGACUGGAGCUCUAAAGAAGAAAAGGUGCACAAUCUCUUCUGACGAGUCUAGCUUGUGGUGUAGAAGAGAAAAGCAAGAAUUCAGCAGACUUCAGAGAACUGUACCUAACUCAGUUACCGUUCUGAUUUGUACUCCUACAAAUGUGUUUCAUCUUCAAGGACAUUCAUAGAGAGGACUCUCGACAAACACAGCUGGAUCCUGACUUCUAAUGAUUUCCUUGAUUAUUUGGAUAAUUUUCUGCCUGACUACUUACACACUAUAGGCCUGACUGAAAGCCAUGAGACAACUGUUUAACUGAACUGACCUGAUUUACUUCAUUAUGAAAUGUGUAAUAAGAAGCGAAGACUACACAUUAGAGUUCCAAAAAAAAUGGCUCUAUGAAGGAUAGAGGGCUCAACGUAAUACCAGGGGCUACCUGUAACUGGAUGAAAGACAGUUUCACUCCUUGAAUCCUGAUCUAUGCCCCUUUUCAGCAGGAAGUAGCUGGAGUCGUCCCUGUCACUCAAGAGUGAGGAAUGAUGAAAAGUCAGGUUGCUAUGGAGACCAAACAGCUACUGUGUUGUUGCUAAAUGAAGAUUUGCCAUGUCUACUCACUUUGAAACAUCUGUCCUACUGCCCCAGCCUGGCACUGCUGAUGUCCCUCUGUCCCUGUUGCCUCAGGAAGCAUCUCCCUCUUGUGAGCCAUAACUUAAGGUCAAAUUCACAAUCACUUUGAGGCUGGGUCUUUGGAGAGGAUCUCUUCUGCUGAUACCUUCACUUGAUGACUCACCUCUUUACCAAGUCACUGGGGAACUACUAAAUGUUUUCUUUUAUAGGUAUAUUAACCUCAUGUGGCCAUUUAUAUUACUGCUGUGACAUAGGUAUGCAAGCCAACUAACUCUCAACAUCUUGCUCUUGGGCCAUGAUGGAAGAAUGUCACGUAAAGGCUGCACGGGCCAUAAACAUGUUGCGGGUAAAGCAUACCAAUGCUGACAAUACUGAUUCCAUGUUGCACCCUCCAUCCUGUUCACGUCCAGGCCAUCACCUCCCUCAGGGCUACAUGUCCCGGGCCCCCUGGAGGCUAGGUAUGCCCUGACCAGAAUAUGGGAAGGCUUGUUGUGAUCUUCCCUAAAGUUGUUUAGAUAACUAGUAGAGGUAAUGUACUUUCCUCCCCCAUCAUUUGGAGUACAUGUGGUGCCACAGGGUCUGUUAAGUGUUAAACCCUGUGACCUCACCACAGUGCCCUCUGCACAUCCCUUCACACCCUAUAAAAUCUGUGGACUGAGGUCUAGACUUUGUGAAGAACAGCUGUGCAGCUACUUGGAUCAUCACCUGCCCAACCCCCCGGGUCAGUAAGUUACCCUGAAUAAAACUCUGUGUAAACUGUA